UGGGCAAGAGCACAGGCAUUGGAGUUAUCCCUGGGUCCUGAUCGCAGCUCUGCGCUUUGACCACCUGCAUGGAUAACACCUUCCAAACUGGGCGGCUGGGUUGUUGUAAGCACAGCACUGAACACGGAGCAUGGCUGCUAAGGCAUCUGCGCGAAGCAUUGUACGAAUGAAAUGGAAGGUUGUGAAGCCAAAGAUUAAGACGUCACUUAGGAGAUUCUACUACACUGAUCCGGGGGAGAUUCGAAGAAACCGUCAGUGGGGACCGGCGAGUGGUGAAAGAGAGAAGGACAUCGUCACACUUGCAUUUUGAAAAUAUUCUGGUUGCAAAAUGGAGAUUGGAGGGAGGCAAGAGUGAAGGCAGCAAGACCAGUCAAGAUAUGAUAGAGGUAGGUAAAACGGAUACCUUUUGGGAAGCAAAAAGCAGCCAGAUUAGGAUUUAUAUUGGACAAGGA
rnacentral:lncRNA from 1 species